GGCGCCACCUGGCGGCCUACCUGGGCAAGUCUGACGAGGUGCGGGAGCCCAAUGGGCCGGCUGAGGCAUGGUGUGGGAGCCUGCCGAGCCAACCGAGGCUUGUGAGGCGGUUGAGGUGCGGGAGCCUGACAAGCCGGCCAUGGGAGGCCGACGUGCCCGGCCGAGGCGCGGGAACUCGACGGGCCAGCUGAGACAUGGCGUGGGAGCCAACCGAGGCUUGUGAGCCAGCUGAGGCAUGGGAGACUGACGAGCUAGCUGAGGCAUCCCCGGUUGCGUCGGCAGCGGCCGACGUCACCAACAAGAACAAAAAAAACACUCCCUGAUGCUUUCAAUUGUGGUGUCUGCAUUCUGUAACGGUUCCAUAAUCACAGACGCUGGGAGACAGGAAGCAAGUACUGGUGGCAGAAAAUGGCGGAGCACCAACCCACCAUCACUUAAAACCCACUGCUCUCCCUACACCUGUGAAGGAGCUCUCUCAUUCUCUCUCUCUCCCUUUACCCCCCCCACACUUAUCUCCAUAUAAUAAAUCCUCAUAAUUUUCAAAUGUAUGGUUUGCGCUUUAUGAAGACAUUGUGAAGAAUUAUUAGGAUCUAAUAUAAUCGUAUAUUAUUGUUUAAUGACAUUAACAUAAACAUCUACAUGCAGUAGGACAGAUCUACAAUUUGUACAAUGAAUCAGGGAAGCAGCAGAUACGGCAGUCAGUCGGCAGUGCCAGGAGGACACAAUGGAGGUCUACCCCGGGUGAUGGUAAUAGAGGGUAUGUACGUGAGGCGACGUUGGCUCCCUCUUCUGGGAAUACGGGAGCUGGGCACCCCGACACGGACAGCUCUAAGUGGAGGUAAUUAGAGGAAAGUGCCAAACAGCCGUGGAGGCCAAAUAAAAGGAGCACGGUGGCACACCGCGAGAGAGAACGGGGAGAGACAGACACCAAGCAAAAGUAGAGAAGGACUGAGCCAAACCUAAGUGAUUUUCUUUGUUAUAUUUAUUUUCUGUCUUAGUAAAGUUGUUUUUUCCGACUAAA
ensembl:lncRNA